CCUGCCGGCGACCGGCGCACGGGUGGAGUAACACGUAUGCGACCUGCCCCCCGCCAGGGGGAUAACCGGGAGGAAAUCCCGACUAGUACCGCGUAACGCCGCGGACCUGCAUGGGUCUGCGGCCAAAGGAAGCGAUUCCGGCGGGGGAUGGGCAUGCGGCGCAUUAGCUAGUCGGCGGGGUAACGGCCCACCGAGGCGACGAUGCGUAGGGGUUCUGAGAGGAAGGUCCCCCACACUGGUACUGAGACACGGACCAGACUCCUACGGGAGGCAGCAG
rnacentral:rRNA from 1 species